rnacentral:rRNA from 1 species
CCAAUAGCGUAUAUUAAAGUUGUUGCAGUUAAAAAGCUCGUAGUUGAAUUUCAGGCCUGGCUGGACGGUCCGCCCUUCGGGUGAGUACUGUCUGUAGUCGGGUCCUACCUUCUGGCGAAGCGUCAUGGCCUUAACCGGCCGUGGCGGGGAACCAGGACUUUUACUGUGAAAAAAUGAGAUUGUUCAAAGCAGGCAAUCGCAUGGAUACAUUAGCAUGGAAUAAUGGAAUAGGACAAUGGUUCUAUUUGUUGGUUUCUAGGACCGUUGUAAUGAUUAAUAGGGAUAGUUGGGGGCAUUAGUAUUCAAUUGUCAGAGGUGAAAUUCUUGGAUUUAUUGAAGACUAACUACUGCGAAAGCAUUUGCCAAGGAUGUUUUCAUUAAUCAAGAACGAAAGUUAGGGGAUCGAAGACGAUCAGAUACCGUCGUAGUCUUAACCAUAAACUAUGCCGACUAGGAAUCGGGCGAUGUUGACAAAAUGACGCGCUCGGCACCUCAUG